UUGCUUGAGCAUUUUGGGUGCAUGGUUAAAAAGGUGGAUUUUUUGAAAACAUGUGUGUUUCUCUAUAAAUAUGUGAUUGUGAUAUUGGUUGCACCAUAGUUUGGGAGAUCCUCUUUUGAAUAAUUUUUUCCAUUAUAGUCAAGAAGGAUGCUCUUUUGAGCGAUUUUUUUCACCAUAAAUGAGGCGGUUGUUCUUUAAACGAUUUGUUCUAUCCUUAUCGGGGAGGUUGAUGGCAACCUCUUUAGAGAUUUUCCAUCCAAAAGUAUCAACUUAACACUAAAACAAAGAAAGGGAAGUUGAAUAAGGACUUGAUCUUUUCUUUCUAAGUCUUAGCAUGUUCUCUUUACCUAAAAACAUUUACACUAUUUUUGUAGGUCACCAAAUAAGGAUGGGAAACCAUGCCAAGCAAAGGAAAGCAAAGGAAGCCGAGAAGGUUGCAAUAGCCGAAUAUAAAAGUUGCAUGAAGAAUUGGAUUUUUCAAGCACCACGCGCCUAGCCAAAACCCUGGAUGGCUCAGCGUUUUUGCUCCAGUAGAUUAAACAUUUAACACGUGAUUAAUGUGUUUCGCCUAGAAAUUGAAACCCACGUUGGCCAAAGCUUCUUCCGCACAUGCCUUUGUAAUCUUAGUAGCUUCCCUUGCAAAGCUUCUCUUCUCCUAUAAAAGAGAGCUUCAUCAUUUGUAAAAAUCAACUUGAAUUGAGAUAGUGUUAUGCUGUUGAAUUGCAUCCAGUUGCUAUUUCUUCGAGUUCAAAACUUAGAGCUACUUUAACUUGUUCUUCCUCUAGCUCCCUUCCCCGCUGGAAGGCCAUCUGAGUUAGAAACUCACCACAUAUUCAUCCAAACCACUACCGAGCAUUUCUACAAACACCUUACAGGCACCGAACAUCUUCAAACCAUUCUUCAUUUCGCUGCCAAUUUUGGACUAAGGAGCCACUCAAGUUUUGGAGAUUGAGGUUGCUUCCAUAAUUUGGAAACUAGAGCCAGUCGUCCACGCCUUGCGUCAAGAGCUAAGUUGCUCUUUCCUUUAAUUUUCUUACUUUCGUGUUGUGCAGUUCGUAUUUUCUGUUUGCACUUUUUUUUAAUUCGAAUUUUUUUGUUCCUAUGGAUGUUUGAGUGCAUUCACAUGUUACUUAGUAUUUUUUGAUCAUUUUAAUUGGUGCAUUUCUUUAUUGGAGUUUGAAUCCAGCUUUACAAAUCAUUUUCCAGUUUUGUUCGGUCAUGUGCAAAUUGUUGAUGUGUUUUUACUGUUGCAUUGGUUUAAAUCUGUUCCAGCUUUAUUUCUUCGUUGUUGUUUAAGUCAAGUGCAUUUUCUAGGUAUAUGUUGAUCGUAUAAGUAAUGGCAUCAUGUCCAUCUUUGAUCAUUGGAGCUAAAAGUAAUGUCCUAAAAGUCCAGAUUGCUUGUUCCAAAGGGGUAGCAUAUUAGGGAGUGGAAGACUUGUUAAAUUGGCUACAAGUUUGGACUCCAAGUGCACUUCCUUCUUGCUGUUCCAGCACCAUUUCAGCAGCUACAACAUCACUUUUGGGAACUACACCAAUCACAAACAACACCUUUCACUUGCUUUGUCCUUUUGUAAACACUUUUAAUUGUACUUUUGUGCUGUAUCACGGAACAUUUGUGUUUCAUUCUUCUUUCAUUUUUAAAGCUUAAGUGGCUUUGGAAAAUGCUUUUCUAGCAAUUCCAAGACCACCACUAAACAUUGUAAUAGCCUAUACUCCACAUCUUAGUGUGAAAGUUUGUCAAGUGGCUCCAAGUGUCACUUGCACUUUCACUUAGGGUUAUGUCUCAUCCUUCCUUUCCA